AUACAGAGGGUGCGAGCGUUAAUCGGAAUUACUGGGCGUAAAGCGUACGUAGGCGGUUAGUUAAGUUAGAUGUGAAAGCCCCGGGCUUAACCUGGGAACUGCAUUUAAAACUGGCUAACUAGAGUUAAGUAGAGGGGAGUGGAAUUUCAGGUGUGGCGGUGAAAUGCGUAGAGAUCUGAAGGAACACCAGUGGCGAAGGCGGCUCCCUGGACUUGAACUGACGCUGAGGUACGAAAGCGUGGGUAGCAAACGGGAUUAGAAACCCCAGUAGUCC
rnacentral:rRNA from 1 species